rnacentral:sRNA from 1 species
ACCGGAUGGACUGCUUGCAGUCCGAUCCGGGAUGGCUUCAGGUGCGGCAACGGAAAUGAGCAUGAAGCGACGCGUAAGCGGCGCGGGAAUGCGAAUUUCCGUUGAGCAUCGCGGGAGCACGAAGUGCGGAGCGAUGCGUGG